GCCGGGUGUGGUGGCGCAUGCCUGUAAUCCCAGCUACUUGGGAGGCUGAGGCAGGAGAAUUGCUUGAGCCCGGGAGGCGGAGGUUGCAGUGAGCCAAGAUCGCGUCACUGCACUCCAGACUGGGCAACACAGCGAGUCCUUGUCUCAA
rfam:Homo sapiens chromosome 1, GRCh38 reference primary assembly.